AUUUAAGUAGUUUAAAUUUAGAAUAUUAAUUUGUGGUGUUAAAGGUAAUUUUUGUUCUUAAAUC
rnacentral:tRNA from 1 species